rnacentral:rRNA from 1 species
UAGGGAAUCUUCCGCAAUGGGCGAAAGCCUGACGGAGCAACGCCGCGUUAGUGAUGAAGGUCUUCGGAUCGUAAAACUCUGUUAUUAGGGAAGAACAAAUGUGUAAGUAACUAUGCACGUCUUGACGGUACCUAAUCAGAAAGCCACGGCUAACUACGUGCCAGCAGCCGCGGUAAUACGUAGGUGGCAAGCGUUAUCCGGAAUUAUUGGGCGUAAAGCGCGCGUAGGCGGUUUUUUAAGUCUGAUGUGAAAGCCCACGGCUCAACCGUGGAGGGUCAUUGGAAACUGGAAAACUUGAGUGCAGAAGAGGAAAGUGGAAUUCCAUGUGUAGCAGUGAAAUGCGCAGAGAUAUGGAGGAACACCAGUGGCGAAGGCGACUUUCUGGUCUGUAACUGACGCUGAUGUGCGAAAGCGUGGGGAUCAAACAGG